ACAGAGGGUGCGAGCGUUGUCCGGAAUCACUGGGCGUAAAGGGCGCGUAGGCGGCCCGAUAAGUAGGAGGUGAAAUCUUGCGGCUCAACCGCAAGGCUGCCUUCUAAACUGUCAGGCUGGAGCACGGUAGAGGCAGAUGGAAUUCCCGGUGUAGCGGUGGAAUGCGUAGAGAUCGGGAAGAACACCAGUGGCGAAGGCGGUCUGCUGGGCCGUUGCUGACGCUGAGGCGCGACAGCGUGGGGAGCAAACAGGAUUAGAUACCCUGGUAGUCCACGCCGUAAACGAUGGGCACUAGGCGUCGGGGGGAGCGACCCUCCCGGUGCCGUCGCUAACGCAGUAAGUGCCCCGCCUGGGGAGUACGGCCGCAAGGCUG
rnacentral:rRNA from 1 species